UAGGGAAUCUUCCACAAUGGACGCAAGUCUGAUGGAGCAACGCCGCGUGAGUGAAGAAGGUUUUCGGAUCGUAAAGCUCUGUUGUUGGUGAAGAAGGAUAGAGGCAGUAACUGGUCUUUAUUUGACGGUAAUCAACCAGAAAGUCACGGCUAACUACGUGCCAGCAGCCGCGGUAAUACGUAGGUGGCAAGCGUUGUCCGGAUUUAUUGGGCGUAAAGCGAGCGCAGGCGGAAUGAUAAGUCUGAUGUGAAAGCCCACGGCUCAACCGUGGAACUGCAUCGGAAACUGUCAUUCUUGAGUGCAGAAGAGGAGAGUGGAAUUCCAUGUGUAGCGAUGGAAUGCGUAGAUAUAUGGAAGAACACCAGUGGCGAAGGCGGCUCUCUGGUCUGCAACUGACGCUGAGGCUCGAAAGCAUGGGUAGCGAACAGG
rnacentral:rRNA from 1 species